ACAGUGGACGCGAGCAUCUGUGGCCAAGUUUUUAAGGGCGCACGGUGGAUGCCUUGGCACCAGGAACCGAUGAAGGACGUGGGAGGCCGCGAUAGGCCCCGGGGAGUCGUCAACCAGGCUUUGAUCCGGGGGUGUCCGAAUGGGGAAACCCGGCAGUCGUCAUGGGCUGUCACCCGCUGCUGAACACAUAGGCAGUGUGGAGGGAACGCGGGGAAGUGAAACAUCUCAGUACCCGCAGGAAGAGAAAACAACCGUGAUUCCGGGAGUAGUGGCGAGCGAAACUGGAUGAGGCCAAACCGUAUGCGUGUGAGACCCGGCAGGGGUUGCGUAUGCGGGGUUGUGGGGUUGCUCUUCCACGGUCUGCCGGCCGUGGGGCGAGUGAGAAACCGUAUGGAUAGGCGAAGGGCAUGCGAAAGGCCUGGCGUAGAGGGUAAGACCCCCGUAGUCGAAAUCUGUGCGGCUCGCUUGAGUGAUUCCCAAGUAGCACGGGGCCCGAGAAAUCCCGUGUGAAUCUGGCGGGACCACCCGCUAAGCCUAAAUAUUCCCUGGUGACCGAUAGCGGAUAGUACCGUGAGGGAAUGGUGAAAAGUACCCCGGGAGGGGAGUGAAAUAGUACCUGAAACCGUGUGCCUACAAGCCGUGGGAGCGUCGCUGGCGGGUUUUCCCGUCAGUCGUGACUGCGUGCCUUUUGAAGAAUGAGCCUGCGAGUUUGCGGUGUGUUGCGAGGUUAACCCGGGUGGGGUAGCCGUAGCGAAAGCGAGUCCGAAGAGGGCGUUUGAGUAGCACGCUCAAGACCCGAAGCGGGGUGAUCUAGCCAUGGGCAGGUUGAAGCGGAGGUAAGACUUCGUGGAGGACCGAACCCACCAGGGUUGAAAACCUGGGGGAUGACCUGUGGUUAGGGGUGAAAGGCCAAUCAAACUCCGUGAUAGCUGGUUCUCCCCGAAAUGCAUUUAGGUGCAGCGUCGUGUGUUUCUUGCCGGAGGUAGAGCACUGGAUAGGCGAUGGGCCUUACCGGGUUACUGACCUUAGCCAAACUCCGAAUGCCGGUAAGUGAGAGCGCGGCAGUGAGACUGUGGGGGAUAAGCUCCAUGGUCGAGAGGGAAACAGCCCAGAGCAUCGACUAAGGCCCCUAAGCGUGCGCUAAGUGGGAAAGGAUGUGGAGUCGCAGAGACAACCAGGAGGUUGGCUUAGAAGCAGCCAUCCUUGAAAGAGUGCGUAAUAGCUCACUGGUCUAGUGAUUCCGCGCCGACAAUGUAGCGGGGCUCAAGCGUACCGCCGAAGUCGUGUCAAUCCAGCAUGUGGGUUAACGCCCGCUGGGUUGGGUAGGGGAGCGUCGUCUGCCGGGUGAAGCAGCCGUGGAAGCGAGUUGUGGACGGUUGACGAGUGAGAAUGCAGGCAUGAGUAGCGAUUCACACGUGAGAAACGUGUGCGCCGAUUGACCAAGGGUUCCUGGGUCAAGCUGAUCUGCCCAGGGUAAGUCGGGACCUAAGGCGAGGCCGACAGGCGUAGUCGAUGGAUAACCGGUUGAUAUUCCGGUACCCGCUGUGAAGCGCCCGACAUCGAAUCCAGUGAUGCUAAGCCCGUGAAGCCGCCCGUCUUCAGCUUUGCUGUUGGUGGGAGUGGUGGAGCCGGUGGCCCGAGCUGGUAGUAGGUGAGUGAUGGGGUGACGCAGGAAGGUAGUCCAUCCCGGGCGGUGGUUGUCCCGGGGUAAGGGUGUAGGACGGUGUGUAGGUAAAUCCGCAUGCCAUUGAGUCUGAGACCUGAUGCCGAGCCGAUUGUGGUGAAGUGGAUGAUCCUAUGCUGUCGAGAAAAGCCUCUAGCGAGUUUCAUGGCGGCCCGUACCCUAAACCGACUCAGGUGGUCAGGUAGAGAAUACCGAGGCGUUCGGGUGAACUAUGGUUAAGGAACUCGGCAAAAUGCCCCCGUAACUUCGGGAGAAGGGGGGCCAGUCCUGGUG
rnacentral:rRNA from 1 species